rnacentral:misc_RNA from 1 species
GUGAAUCAUCGAAUUUUUGAACGCAAAUUGCACUCUCCUCGGAGAGUAUGCCUGUUUGAGGGUCAGCCUAUAAAAAAUCGACAUCGUUGCUGUUUCGCGCCGACGUUCGUCGGAAAUUGGGUCAUCUUAAAUCCUUCUGGUUUUAAGCGACUUAAAAUUUUCCAUUUGGUUCUUCGAACGUUUUUAAGUUAUAUUUCUUUCCAUGUCUAUGUUAUCGACUUUUAUUAGUCGUGAUCAUCAUUUCCGCC